rnacentral:lncRNA from 1 species
UGCAGUUGGUCCUAUACGAUUAAUUCAAUAGCUCAAUAUCUCACUAAGCCGGAGUCACCACAGUGACCUAUACGGCCCUACUCUGCACAUCACUCGGAACUACGUAAGGUAGUCUAUACGAUGAAAGGUGUAAAAUACGCUCUAGUGCUUCUCUCAUCAUAUCAUCAGCGCGCAUAUCUAAGGUCACCCACCAGUCGGAACCCCUCUAAUGGUCUGUACGACUGGCAUGUCGGAACCCUUACAUGGUCUGUACGACAUCCACCUACUUGGAUCCAAGGCGAGCGUGCGGUGUGGUGAAUAAUAUAAGCACUAACACCUAGGGUGCAGAUUAUGAGCUCAAACAUCUCAACAACAACAAUUCAAUGAAUAAACGAACUCACCUGACUUACCUGUGCCUCCACAGCACCAUGCAACAUGUAUGCAUCAUAUAUCAAUCAUAUAACUCAUAUGAAAUUCACAUUUUCCAAAUAAUUCUAUGCAUGGCAUUUUCAAAACAUAAUUUCGCAUAAAAGCAUUUUUCUGGGAAAAACAAUAGUAUAUAGGUAAUACGAAAACAAAACUGCCCACUCACCUGGAGUUCGCCCACAACUCCCUAGCACCGUACAUCAAGGCGUCAUGACGAUUAGCGCCUAGAACAACAAUCAAAUCCAACCUCAGAAAUUCUGCCGAUAGAAUACAUAACUUAUAUAAGACACGUCACUACGUAGUUCGAUCCGGAUGAUCUGCAAUUCAGAUUUCAAAUCCGUAACUUCCAGAGGUCCACAAUAUACCUCUAGGACAACAUCCUAAAAUUUCAUUACCAUCCAACGGUCGGAUCUCCGUCAAUUUCCAAAACUAAGUGACGGUUAACAUUCUAUUUUAUGAACUUACAACUUCAAUUCCGGAAGAUCCGUAAAUCGGAUUCCCAAUCCGUAAGUUCCUAUAAUCCUCAAAUAUUACGUAUUACAACGUAUCAAAGUUUUGAUGACGAUCCAACGGUCGGAUCGUCAAUUCACAUUUUCACCUAACCACGAAAUCGUAACCAACUUAGGUUCAAUUAUUCAAUUUACGUCCAUCAAUUAUCAAAACAGAACCUAGAACCUUAAUCACAAGCUAAUAAUGACAUUGGCGGGCCAUUGGCCACGCGCCGCCGCGCGGGCCGCCGCGGGUGGCGGUUGGCCGCCCCCGGCUCGCCGGAAAAUUCAACUAUUUCCAAAAAUUACCAAAAUUUUCAGAUUUGAAGAUCUCAAUGAGUAGAACAACUUUCAUACCUGAGACCAAUGCCAAUUUGGCCUGGAAGUGCUUCAAUUUCACCAAAACCGUGAAGAACCCUAGAAUUUGGGUGUUUCCAAUUCGACCUUCAAACUUGUUCCAACGCCUCAAUUACCUCUUGGGCUUUGUUCUAGGUCCUAAAGGAAUGCUAAAGGUGUUAGUAAUUGAAAGAAAACAUUUCAAAAUUUGGAGAAUUUAAACAAAAGGGUCGCGGCACCCGUAGGGGUGUUCUUCGCGAAAUCACAACGAAAUUCAAUGAUUCUUGGGGUGAAACGUGAAGAGGGAAGGCCUAGAUGAUGAUUAGGAGUGGUACCUUGACUCAAUUCGUCGGAAAAUUGGACGAAAACGGCGAAAACCCGCCGAUUUGGAAGCUUGGGUCGCGCGGGUCAAGGGUGACCCAUUCCUCCUGUUCCCCCGUGCACCACUCUCCCUCCUUUCCCUCCUUUCCGUCCCCUGAUUGGUCAGCUUCUUCCUCUCCCUUCUUCUGGUUCACUCUCAUCUCUCUUCUUCUCCGAUUGGGCAUUUCUGCCCAGUCUCUUCUUCUUUUCUGUUUUUCUGUUUCUUCUUCUCAUACACAUACACACACCAAAAACCUUUCCCUCAUCCCAGCCAUCCAUUUCAUUCAUCAAUAAAUCUGGGCCGUCCAAUUUCAUAAAAGAAUUUCUAUAUUUUACUAAAAUUAUAAUUCCUUAAAAUUCCAAAUUUCAAACGUUAAUAACUUCUUCGAUAUAACUCCAAAUCACGAACCGUCUGCGCCCACCGCGUCCGUAACGACGAGUACUACGACGAGGAUAUGUCAAGAAAACAAAUCUUAGAUGGCACGACACAACGAUUAACCUCGAAUGAUGUGCGUGCCUCAAAGGGCAUUUUUGUAAUAUCCUUUAUUAAAACUUUAAAAAUUCUUAAAAUUAGGGACGGGCUGUCACAAUCUACCCACCUUACAGAAAUUUCGUCCUCGAAAUUUACACAAUCUUUACAAUCCAUCAAUAUCCAUGAAACAGCCCGAAACACAUCUCUCUCAUUCGAUUCUUUGACUUCUAAGUAGCUUCUUCCACUGAAAGAUUCCUGCAUAAACUUUCACCAAACUCAUAGUCUUAUUUCUCAGUACAUCAUCUUUCUAAUACAAGAUAGGCACUGGCUCCUCAUCAUACGUCAAAUCCAUAUUGACUUCCAAGGUUGAGAAGGUAUCACUCGUGAAGGAUAUGAGGUUUAAUGUCGAAGUAUCGAAACAUAAAACAUAUCAUGCCCUUUCAUCGGCUCUGGAGGCAACUCAGCCUGUACGUAACUUCACUGACUCGUUCGAUGAUCACAGAUGGUCUGACGUAUCUAGGACUUACUUGUUUUUCUUUUUAAAACAAAUCAUACCUUUCCAAGGUGAUAAUUUCAAAAUCAUUCGAUCACCUACAUAUACAUCCGGUCAGUGGCAUGUUUGUCUGCUAAGCUCUUCAGCCGAUCCUGGCCCACUUCCAGGUUAGACUUAAUUACUUGAAUAUUCCGAAUAGUCUCAUCCACUAACUCAGGGCCUUGAAUACUAUCCGUCCCCAAUUCUAACAAUUUCGAAACACAAGACAUAGCUUUCCACGGCCUUAUGGCGUUACUCUAGGGAACAAACUGAAGGGACCAACAUACCCAAGAAGUUUAACAGAUCCCAAAUCUCUUUUUCCAUAAAACAAACAAAUAAAUGUUGCGCUUGUCUGGAAAAGUUGGUGUUCUCAUACUGAAGUAACAUACGCUGACGUCACCAGUCGAUCAAUUAUUAUUCAAAUUCCAACCUAACUAUUUUGUAUACGAGGAAGCUUGUCCACGAAAUCCAUAGUAAUAUUCUCCCAUUUCCGCCGUGGAAUGGGAAAUGACUACAUUAAUCCAAAAGACUUAUUUCUUUCUGCUUUAACCUGAUGACUGAUGAUACGCCUACUAACAUACUUCGCCAUUCCUCUUUUCAUACCCGUCAAUAGUACAUGAACGAAUGGUAUGAUAAAUCUUAGUACUUUUUGGGAUGCAUUGUAGAAGUGGAAAUAAUGUACAUCGUCAAAAUUGCUUUCUUUAAUUCCACACCAUUAGGCAUAAACACUUUGUUCUUUUGCAUAGGCUUGCCAUCUGAUUCUCUAACUCUAAGGUCCUUCUUUUUCCCGUUAUUCCUUGCUUUAAAAUAAAUUCUUGAAUUUCUUCGUCAAACGCUCGAGUAUCGAGUACGAUCUACCAAAUGGGUCCAACUUAGAAAUUAGCAAGUAAGGCUUCUUCUCGAUUUUUGAUACUCAACUUUACUCCAGUAGAUUUCAAAUCCACAAGAAGAUGAACAUAGCAAGCGUACCAAGCAUUAAUUUCUCACUGGGGUCUUCCUACUAAAAUGCAUCAGCCACAACAUUAGCUUGACCACCCUCGUCACACAAUCAUAGUCACUAAGCAACUCAUUCCACCUUUGUUGCCUAAGAUUAAGAUACCUCUGAAUAAACAGAUAUUGGGUACUCUUUUGAUUUGUAACAAUCAUGCACUUUUCUUCCCAUAAAGACAAUGUCUCCAAAUCUUCAAAGCAAAGAUGAUAGCUGCUAAUUCCAAAUUAUAAUUAGGGUAAUUCAUCUUAUGAGAUCCCAAUGGCCAUGAAGCAUAGGCAAUCAUCCUACCAUGUUGCAUCAACACGCAUCCAAGUACAUUCAAAGAAGUAUUAUUAUAGACCACAUAAUUACCACUAUCGUCUGGGAGUGCGAAAACAGAUGCAUGAGUGAGGGAAUACUUUACUUGCUGAAGCUCUACUCACAAUUUUUUUUAUCCCACUCAAACUUAACCUCUUUUCUCAUCAAUCUCGCCAAGGGCGAAGCAAUAAUUAAAAUCUUGGACGAACUAUCGACAAUAUCCUGCUAAUCCGAGAAAACUCUGAACCUCAGUCACAGUUCGCAAUUGUUCCAAAUUCUCAAUCGUUGCUACUCUUUUAAGAAUCCAUUUGAAUACCUUAAGUAGAUAUAAUUAAUUUAUCCAACAUUAGCAUUUGCUAAACUUAGCAUACAUCAACGUUCCCUCAAUCUUUGCAACACCAACUUUAAAUAUCUAGCAUGCACUGCUCUAAUCUUAUCAAUCUCGUCAAUGGCAAACAAUAACAACCCGGUCCAGAUAUCACUGGAAUACUUCCUUCAGCAAACUCAUAAAAGUAGCAGGUGCAUUCGUCACUCCGUAUGGCCUCCCAACUUGAAAUGACCAUAACGAGUCCUGGAUUUAGUCUUAUGAACAUCCUCACUGUUAAUCUUCAACUAAUAUCAUUCAGACCUCAAGUCAAUCUCAGAAAGUACCCAGGCGCCUCAGAGCUGAUCAAAUAAUCAUCAAUACACAACAAUGGAUAACAGCUCUCAAUCGUUACCCGAUUCAAUUACCUAAUAUCAAUGCCUAGCCUUAAUGUCCAUUUUCUUCCUCACAAAUAAACCGGAGCUUUUCCAAUGUGAUAAUAUAAGUUGAAAUGGAACUUUUAACUCAACCUGAACCAAUCUCUAACAUAGGAUUUGUACCUAAAAAACAAUUCAAUAAUAAAACCCACAUCUCUCUGCCUGGCGGCAAUCUAGGUAAGGCAUCUGGGAAUACACCAAGAAAAUGUCUAACCAUCUUUACAUCUUCCAUACUAUUAGGAUCAACAUCAUUUAGCACCAUAUGAACUCAAUAUCUUGGCAGCCUUUUGAUAACAAUCUUCUUUGCUCUCUCAACAGGAAUAAUGGCAUAACUCACUCCACUUUACUUACCCCCAAAAGUAACCUCUGGUCAUCCAGGUCGACAAAAAUUAACUGAUUCCCCAUAGCAAUCUAGCUUGACACAAAUAUACAUUUCCUCUACCAGAGUCAUCUUGUCUCAGAAAUCUGGGAUCACUAGUAAAUCUAUCACUUCGCCUCUGACCAGUGGCAGUAAAACCUAAGCUGGGAAAAUUAGCUCUAAUUUCACCUCCUUUGAAGCUCUGAGUCCUCCGAGGUCUUUGAUAUGACGAAUCUUUAACUUUAUCGUCUUAUUCUGAUUCUCAUUCCUUUCUUAUUCCUCUUUACUCUCGCUGAUCAUAUUCUCAAAGUCUUCAAAGCCCAACAACAUCUCGUAAACUCUUGGUAAAAAGUACAAUGGAUAGUGGUCGCCAAAGAACGCAACUUCUUCUUAUUAUCCAGCCAAAAACGACAUAACACCUCGACCGAAUUAACAACAUCAGAAUGGAAACAAGGCAAGUCUGUAAACUUUCUAUAAUAUUCAUCCGUCGUCAUUUUCCUUGUCUCACAUUUGCAAUUUCUUGUUUACUACCAUCACAAUAUGCCGGGGGAAUGAACUUUUCUUAAACAAUUCUUUAACCAACUUCCAAACAGUUGUCCUUCCGAUAUCGUCGGAUAACAUUCCUAUCUCCAUCAAAAUGCAGAUUCAUCACUCAAAAACUAGGUAAAUCAUCUCGACCUACCUAUCGGGAGGAAAAUUCCCUUAACCUUGCAUAAUCUGAAACGCCUUUUCCCAAUUGAUUAAGCCAUCAAUCUGCUCCCUUAGGUCCUUCAUAUCCCUAAAGGGAUUCAAAUUUAACUUAUAACCAGUCUCAAAAGGUCCCUUUAGAUAAUAGACUGAAUCACAAUGGCAAUAGUUUCCCCCCAAACUACUAUAUCAGGGAAAUUAGGCUCAUCCGAACUACGUGGCUCGCUACGAGGCGGUAUAGUUCUGACAGAAGACACUAGGAAAUUAUCAAGAUGUCCAGAAUUGCAACCUAGGCUCUGAUACCAACUGACACACCCCGUCCCGAAGGAGGGCGUGCUGGCCGUCACGUGAGAGUGACGUAACCAUUUACACAGUUCGGAAGCUUUAAAAAAAUUUCCAAUUACUAAGAUAACACACCCGAGGGUGAGUCCUACUUUUGUGAAUUCUGUCAGAACACCGUUGGAUUCCUCGUGGCCACCAAAGCUCUGCUAACUUGAACCUGGAGGGGCGCAAAACAAAAUUGAGUGGGUCAGUAAAACAAAGUUUUUUCGAAAAACUUUUCAUUUAAAACAUUUCUAACCCCUCACCGUAAAACCUGUAUACUUUCCCAGAAAAUAGCAUAUAUAUAAACAUAUAUAUAAGCAAAACUCUCAAAUCUCAAACCUUUAACACUUUUCAGAAAUAUAUAUAUAUAUAUAUAUAUAUAUAUAUAUAUAUAUAUAUAACCAUAUGAAAUCUCAAAGCUUGAAUCCCAAAUCUUUAACAUUUUUCAAGAAAAACAUGCCAUGCCAUAAAUCAAAAUAUAAAUCAGGUGAAAUAAGGAAUCAAUCGGAGACCCUGCAGUUGGUCCUAUACGAUUAAUUCAAUAGCUCAAUAUCUCACUAAGCCGGAGUCACCACAGUGACCUAUACGGCCCUACUCUGCACAUCACUCGGAACUACGUAAGGUAGUCUAUACGAUGAAAGGUGUAAAAAUAUGCUCUAGUGCUUCUCUCAUCAUAUCAUCAGCGCGCAUAUCUAAGGUCACCCACCAGUCGGAACCCCUCUAAUGGUCUGUACGACUGGCAUGUCGGAACCCUUACAUGGUCUGUACGACAUCCACCUACUUGGAUCCAAGGCGAGCGUGCGGUGUGGUGAAUAAUAUAUAAGCACUAACACCUAGGGUGCAGAUUAUGAGCUCAAACAUCUCAACAACAACAAUUCAAUGAAUAAACGAACUCACCUGACUUACCUGUGCCUCCACAGCACCAUGCAACAUGUGUAUGCAUCAUAUAUCAAUCAUAUAACUCAUAUGAAAUUCACAUUUUCCAAAUAAUUCUAUGCAUGGCAUUUUCAAAACAUAAUUUCUCAUAAAAGCAUUUUUCUGGGAAAAACAAUAGUAUAUAGGUAAUACGAAAACAAAACUGCCCA